UACGAAGGGGGCUAGCGUUGCUCGGAAUCACUGGGCGUAAAGCGCACGUAGGCGGAUAUUUAAGUCAGGGGUGAAAUCCCAGAGCUCAACUCUGGAACUGCCUUUGAUACUGAAGAUCUUGAGUCCGGGAGAGGUGAGUGGAACUGCGAGUGUAGAGGUGAAAUUCGUAGAUAUUCGCAAGAACACCAGUGGCGAAGGCGGCUCACUGGCCCGGUACUGACGCUGAGGCACGAAAGCGUGGGGGAGCAAACAGG
rnacentral:rRNA from 1 species